CAGAUUGCAGGCUGCAACCCGCCUGCAUGAAGUCGGAAUUGCUAGUAAUCGCGGAUCAGCAUGCCGCGGUGAAUACGUUCCCGGGCCUUGUACACACCGCCCGUCACACCAUGGGAGCCGGUAAUACCCGAAGUCAGUAGUCCAACCUCGUGAGGACGCUGCCGAAGGUAGGAUUGGCGACUGGGGUGAAGUCGUAACAAGGUAAC
rnacentral:rRNA from 1 species